rnacentral:rRNA from 1 species
GACGAACCGUGCGAACGUUGUUCGGAAUCACUGGGCUUAAAGGGCGCGUAGGCGGGUCAUCAAGUCUGGGGUGAAAUCCUUCGGCUCAACCGGGAGAACUGCCCCGGAUACUGGUGUCCUCGAGGGAGGUAGGGGCCUCUGGAACUUCCGGUGGAGCGGUGAAAUGCGUUGAUAUCGGAAGGAACGCCGGUGGCGAAAGCGAGGGGCUGGACCUCUUCUGACGCUGAGGCGCGAAAGCUAGGGGAGCAAACGGGAUUAGAAACCCUGGUAGU